UCUGCGAGGGUUGAGUACAAUUAAUAAAACAAACUUUUGAGGUACAUCAGUAGUUCCUGAACAUUCAUGUUUACAAACAUUUGUUAAUUUGCCCAGUCCUGUCAUUUUCUGAAACUGUCUUUGUUGUCAAUCUGUUUUUGUUUUUUGAGAUGGAAUUUCACUCUUGUCGCCCAGGCUGGAGUGCAAUGGUGCAAGCUCAGCUCACGGCAACCUCCCCCUCCCAGGUUCAAAUGAUUCUCCAGCCUCAGCCUCCUGAGUAGCUGGGAUUACAGGCGUGUGCCACCACGCCCAGCUAAUUUUUGUAUUUUUAGAGAGAUGGGGUUUCACCGUGUUGGCCAGGCUGGUCUUGAACUCCUGACCUCAAGUGAUCUGCCCGCCUCUGCCUCCCAAAGUGCUAGGAUUACAGGCUUGAGACAUCAGGCCCGGCUGUCAAUCUUUUUAAUCACCUACAAGUGAUGUUUACAUCUGUUUGCCCUCUCAAUCUUUACAACUUGACAGUAUGUGCCUGCUAACCUAAAAUAAACAUAUGCUUUUCUCAAUAUAUAUGGAGUUUUUAGGCUAUACAGUAAAUUAUUUGGCAAAUACAAAGAGAUGAUCCUCUGGAGUAAAUCUUGUCAACUUAACCAACCUAAGUUAUUUAUCUUCCCAUACUAAUCCCAACCCAAAACCGCUGGUCUCCUAUCCCAAAAACUGUUACACAAGCUCCGAAACCCCCAAUCCUGCCCCCAGUCCCUAUGUACACAUCAUACCAUUAAGUCUCUUUUCAGUCUACAAUGUGAAAAAAAGGCCAUCUCAAUUCUAUUUUUACACCAAGUUUCAGUUUAAGAAUCAUGUAAAACAUUUCCAGUUCAACAAAUCUUUACUCAGUGCCUCUCAAGCAUUCUAUUUUAUUUUAAGCAUUCUAUUUUAAAUUAAUAAAAGUUAUUAAUAUUAAUUUUAAAAAACCUAUUGUGUAUGAUUCAUUAAUGGUUGUAUCAGAUCAUGUAAAACGUUUCCAGUUUAACAAAUCUUUACAAAGUGCCUCUCAAGCGUUCUAUUUUAAAUUAAUAAAAGUAAUUACUAAAAGUUAUUAAUUUUUAAAAACCUAUUGUGUAUGAUCCAUUAAUGAUUGUAUCAAAUACCCUAUGCAACUAAAAAUAACACCUAUGAUCACAUUUAAAUCAAGAGCUAUGUAUAGUCUAAGGAUUUUUUAACAUAUCUUUGAAAAUAUGCAAAAUGGAAAAGAAAUCUAUGAUUGCCUUGAUGACAUUUACAGCAAUUACAAAGAGAUUUCUUCUGAAAUGCAAACUAUCUGCUUUCCAAUGUUACCUCCUGUCAUCAUGGACUGGAAUGCAGCUGGAAAAAGAGAAAGUAGGUUAUCUGAAAAGAUAAAUGUCACUAUCAUACUUGUUUCCAAAAGGUACAACAUAUAAAAUUAUGUUAAAUAACUUUUUCAAUGAUUUUGAAUAUUAAGCAUAGAAGAAAAUGGUCAUGAAAAGAAAUCUCAAGUAAAAAGUUACACACAAACUAACCCAAUUAACAUCUUAAAAAAAUGUUUUGCCCAUACUGGAAAGAUUUAAUUGGUAUCUAACUGGUAUGCACAUCAAUGUUCAUUGUUUACAGUAUCUGAAGACUAGAGGCAAAAAAAAAUGGGAAUAAAAUGUGAGUGAAGGCCGGGCAUGGGGCCUCACGACUGUAAUCCCAGCACUUUGGGAGGCCAAGGUGGGUGGAUCACUUGAAGUCAGGAGUUUAAGACCAGCCUGACCAACAUGGUGAAACCCCAUCUCUACUAAAAAUACAAAAAUCAGCUGGGAGUGGUGGUGUGUGCCUGUAGUCCCAGCUACUCGGGGGGCUAAGGUGGGAGCAUCACCUGAACCUGGGAGGUAGAGGCUGCAGUGAGCCAUGAUCGCACCACUGCACUCCAGCCCGGGUGACAGAGCAUGGCCCUGUCUCAAAAAUUAAAAAAAGGGCUAGGCACUCACACCUGUAAAUUCCAGCACUUUGGGAGGCUGAGGCGGGCAGAUCACUUGAGGUCAGG
ensembl:lncRNA novel transcript, antisense to PTGR2